GAAUGAAGCCGAGUAAGCUGCCUCCACUCUGAGGGCCUCUCAGCGAGCACGGAACUCACCAAGUUCAUUAUGCUAGCUGCCUGGUGAGCCCCGGAGAUCCACCUUCCCAGCACAAGAUCACGAACAUGUACCACCACAAUCUGUCUCCCCCCACAAAUUCUGGGGAUUAGACUCAGGUCCUCAGGUUUGUGCAGCAAGCACAUUUACCAACAGAGCCUCCUCUGCAACCCAUGUGCCGUGGAUGACUUGUUGACCAUGAUACUUCACAAAACUGCAAGAGUUCCUACCACAAGGCUGGCAUGAAUGUCGGGACCACUAGGCCUGCAGAAAGGCUUCAUGGCUAUGCAUCACAUCGGACUUUCUCAGCACAGCCAGGCCCAUGGAAAGAACAUCCAACGCAAGAAGUGCUUUAGUUCC
rnacentral:lncRNA from 1 species